CUGGAGUGGAGAGAGUCCGAAAUGCUCCGGCGCCAUAGGAUGUGGCUGCGGCCGAUUAGGUAGACGGUGGGGUAACGGCCCACCGUGCCAGUAAUCGGUACGGGUUGUGAGAGCAAGAGCCCGGAGACGGUAUCUGAGACAAGAUACCGGGCCCUACGGGGCGCAGCAGGCGCGAAACCUUUACACUGCACGCCAGUGCGAUAAGGGGACUCCAAGUGCGAGGGCAUAUAGUCCUCGCUUUUUGCGACCGUAAGGUGGUCGCGGAAUAAGUGCUGGGCAAGACCGGUGCCAGCCGCCGCGGUAAUACCGGCAGCACAAGUGAUGACCGCUGUUAUUGGGCCUAAAGCGUCCGUAGCUGGCCGCGCAAGUCCAUCGGGAAAUCUCUCCGCUUAACGGAGAGGCGUCCGGUGGAAACUGUGUGGCUUGGGACCGGAAGACCAGAGGGGUACGUCUGGGGUAGGAGUGAAAUCCCGUAAUCCUGGACGGACCACCGGUGGCGAAAGCGCCUCUGGAAGACGGAUCCGACGGUGAGGGACGAAAGCUCGGGUCACGAACCGGAUUAGAUACCCGGGUAGUCCGAGCUGUAAACGAUGUCUGCUAGGUGUGACACAGGCUACGAGCCUGUGUUGUGCCGUAGGAAGCCGUGAAGCAGACCGCCUGGGAAGUACGUCCGCAAGGAUGAAACUUAAAGGAAUUGGCGGGGGAGCACUACAACCGGAGGAGCCUGCGGUUUAAUUGGACUCAACGCCGGACAUCUCACCAGCAUCGACAAU
rnacentral:rRNA from 1 species